rnacentral:rRNA from 1 species
GACGAACGCUGGCGGCGUGCUUAACACAUGCAAGUCGAACGGAAAGGCCCUGCUUGCAGGGUACUCGAGUGGCGAACGGGUGAGUAACACGUGGGUGAUCUGCCCUGCACUUCGGGAUAAGCCUGGGAAACUGGGUCUAAUACCGGAUAGGAGCCCUUUUUAGUGUGAUGGUUGGAAAGUUUUUUCGGUGUAGGAUGAGCUCGCGGCCUAUCAGCUUGUUGGUGGGGUAAUGGCCUACCAAGGCGGCGACGGGUAGCCGGCCUGGGAGGGUGGACGGCCACAUUGGGACUGAGAUACGGCCCAGACUCCUACGGGAGGCAGCAGUGGGGAAUAUUGCACAAUGGGCGCAAGCCUGAUGCAGCGACGCCGCGUGGGGGAGGACGGCCUUCGGGUUGGAAACUCCUUUCGCUAGGGACGAAGCUUUUUGUGACGGUACCUAGAGAAGAAGCACCGGCUAACUACGUG